rnacentral:rRNA from 5 species
GCGACCCCAGGACGGGCGAGGGCACCCGCUGAGUUUAAGCAUAUCAAUAAGCG